AUUGUAGCCAAGACACAGGACACUGAAAUUAUUUGGUCCCAUAGUGUGUACUGUGAUGGCAACAACUUUCCUUGGAAUGCAGAGAAGUUUUGCAUCUUCUUUAUGCACCAGAUCAAAUUCCAGAGGAUGAAGAUGCAGUGCACACACAGAGGAGGACCCGACUGCAGAGAGAUCGCUGCCACGUGCCGGAUCUACAGAUGCAUUGGGAACGCCUGCCUGUGUAAACACAGAUGCUAUUUUGCAAAAGUUUCUAGAUAGCAGCUGAAUGAUGACUCAGACAUUUUUUGUCACUGCAGAGCUGCACAUGGUCUUGUGUACAGCAUCGUGAAAGACAUUAGAGCAAACGUACCAAUGAAGAGCUCUUUACUCUGGAAUUUUUGUGCACCCCACAUUUUUGCAAUAAUGCUCUCUGCAAUAAGCCAUAAUGUUCUUCUGUGACACGACAUGCAUAGCAAUAAAAAGAGAUAACUGGCAUCCUUAUGUUUAAGU
rnacentral:lncRNA from 1 species